UUGUGACGACGUGGAGUUCUUCGACGACUUCGAGGAGUUCUAGGCGAGCGUUCACUAGUCAAGCCUGCGGAGAAGCUUCGCUGUGUGUGUGCGUGUUGAGUUAUCGGUGAACGAUUAAAUACCUUCGUGUCUACCUUUCGGAGUGUAAUAAGUUAUCUACUAUUUUUAUUUACGUUUUUGAACACUGUCUUUGAUGUAUUCACUUAUGAAGUCAACAUAUGUGUAAGAAUGGAUCCUGAUACACAUAUGCUAUGCAUUCGGUUUUGUCCAGAAAUCGGGUGUGACAGCAGUUGCCGCCAGGGGGAGGUGCGUGGUCGCUGGGAGGAUGCGCCAAUUUGUUUCUCAAGUGCAAGACGAGAGGAAGAUUGGUUUGGCCGAUUGGACAAGUCGGCUGCAGGCAAAAGGAUGCAUAGGGUUGUUUGGACAAUUUGGGCAGCUUUCUACUAAAAUCGUGUAUAAUAGUAGGUCGGGUGUCCUACAGCAAAUUACCUCUCUUUAGCGGUGUCUUACAGCAAAGACGUAAAUUUUUAGUGGCUUAGCAAAGUUUAUCGG
rnacentral:lncRNA from 1 species